GCUUGUCUCAAAGAUUAAGCCAUGCAUGUCUAAGUACAAGCCUCAGUAAGGUGAAACCGCGAAUGGCUCAUUAAAUCACACCUAAUCUACUGGAAAGUUACUAGUUACUUGGAUAACUGAGGUAAUUCUUGAGCUAAUACAUGCACAAAAUCCCGACUUCACGGAAGGGAUGUAUUUAUUAGAUAAAAAACCAAUCCGGCAACGGUGCUUGGUGAUUCAUAAUAACUGUUCGAAGCGCACGGCCUCGCGCCGGCGCUAGUUCAUUCAAAUUUCUGCCCUAUCAGCUUUCGACGGUAGUGUAGUGGACUACCGUGGCGCUAACGGGUGACGGAGAAUUAGGGUUCGGUUCCGGAGAGGGAGCCUGAGAAACGGCUACCACAUCCAAGGAAGGCAGCAGG
rnacentral:rRNA from 1 species